GAUGAAGAACGCAGCGAAAUGCGAUAAGUAGUGUGAAUUGCAGAAUUCAGUGAAUCAUCGAAUCUUUGAACGCACAUUGCGCCCCUUGGUAUUCCAUGGGGCAUGCCUGUUCGAGCGUCAUUUGUACCUUCAAGCUCUGCUUGGUGUUGGGUGUUUGUCUCGCCUCUGCGUGUAGACUCGCCUCAAAACAAUUGGUAGCCGGCGUAUUGAUUUCGGAGCGCAGUACAUCUCGCGCUUUGCACUCAUAACGACGACGUCCAAAAGUACAUUUUUACCCUCUUGACCUCGGAUCAGGUAGGGAUACCCGCUGAACUUAAGCAUAUCAAUAAGCGGAGGA
rnacentral:misc_RNA from 1 species